rnacentral:rRNA from 1 species
UACGGAGGGAGCUAGCGUUGUUCGGAAUUACUGGGCGUAAAGCGCACGUAGGCGGCUUUUUAAGUCAGGGGUGAAAUCCUGGGGCUCAACCCCGGAACUGCCCUUGAAACUGGAGAGCUAGAAUCUUGGAGAGGCGAGUGGAAUUCCGAGUGUAGAGGUGAAAUUCGUAGAUAUUCGGAAGAACACCAGUGGCGAAGGCGGCUCACUGGCCCGGUACUGGCGCUGAGGUGCGAAAGCGUGGGGAGCAAACAGG